rnacentral:rRNA from 1 species
UACGAAGGGGGCUAGGGUUGCUCGGAAUCACUGGGCGUAAAGGGUGCGUAGGCGGGUCUUUAAGUCAGGGGUGAAAUCCUGGAGCUCAACUCCAGAACUGCCUUUGAUACUGAGGAUCUUGAGUUCGGGAGAGGUGAGUGGAACUGCGAGUGUAGAGGUGAAAUUCGUAGAUAUUCGCAAGAACACCAGUGGCGAAGGCGGCUCACUGGCCCGAUACUGACGCUGAGGCACGAAAGCGUGGGGAGCAAACAGG